rnacentral:misc_RNA from 1 species
GGACUUGGCUUCCUCAGAGCUCCCAAAUGGGCAUCUGAGCGAAUUUACCCUUUAAACAGCGGGCUAGCCCAUAAUGGUAAUAUCAUAUUCCCAAAUCGGAUUGGAAUCUUUACGCAACCAAACGAGCCCUUAAAUAGUCUAGCGUCUGCUUCUGGUUCGUCUUUCUAAAUACUACGAAAUUGACUUUACUUGGAUUAGCUUCCACCUCCAUCAAGCGCCAAAAGAAUAUCUCUAUCCAUCGCCGACGCCAAUAAUGACUC